UACGUAGGGUGCGAGCGUUGUCCGGAAUUAUUGGGCGUAAAGGGCUCGUAGGCGGUUUGUCGCGUCGGGAGUGAAAUCCACUGGCUUAACUGGUGGCUUGCUUUCGAUACGGGCAGACUGGAGGUAUGCAGGGGAGAACGGAAUUCCUGGUGUAGCGGUGAAAUGCGCAGAUAUCAGGAGGAACACCGGUGGCGAAGGCGGUUCUCUGGGCAUUACCUGACGCUGAGGAGCGAAAGCGUGGGGAGCGAACAGG
rnacentral:rRNA from 1 species